rnacentral:lncRNA from 1 species
CAGGAGGUUCCGGACUGUGUCCCAUCUCAGGAGGUUCCGGACUGCAGGCCGUCUCAGGAGGUUCCGGACUGCAGGCCGUCUCAGGAGGUUCCGGAGGCAGAGAGAGGCAUCAUAUAGACGUAGUGGCAAAGAAAGGUAGUCAAUAGCGGCAGAGAGGUAGUUGAUAGAGGUAACGGCAGAGAGAGGCAGUAUAGAGAGGCAAAGAGAGGCAGCAUAUAGUGGUAGUGUCACGGUUGUCGUAGGAAGGAGCGGACCAAAGUGCAGCGUGUGUGUCGUUCCACAUUUUAUUUUCACUGUGAAACUAUGCAAUACAUAAACUGAAUAACAAAACAACAGACCAUGACGCAGAGGUGAAAUAUACACUAACUCAAAGACAAUCUCCCACAAACCCAGGUGGAAAAAAACCCUACUUAAGUAUGAUCUCCAAUUAGAGACAACGAGGAGCAGCUGCCUCUAAUUGGAGAUCAUCCCCCCAAAAAAACAACAUAGAAAUACCAAACUAGAACCUGACAACAUAGAAAUAGAAAACAUAGAAUAGAACAAAGAACUACAAAUCUCGAAUGCCCACCCAACUCACACCCUGACCUAACCAAAAUAGAGAAACAAAACAUCUCUCUCAGGUCAGGGCAUGACAGGUAGAGGCAGAGAGAUGUAGCAGAUGUAAGUAGAGGCAGAGAGAUAGAGCAGAUGUAAGUAGAGGCAGAGAGAGGUAGCAGAUAGAAGUAGAGGCAGAGAGAGGUAGUUUAUAGAAGUAGAGGCAGAUAGUGAAAGUAGAGACAGGUAGAGGCAGAGAGAGGUAGCAGAUAGAAGUAGAGGCAGUGAGAGGUAGCAGAUAGAAGUAGAGGUAGAGAGAGGUAGUUUAUAGAAGUAGAGGCAGAGAGUGACAGUAGAGAGAGGUAGAGGCAGAGAGAUAAAGUAGAGAGAGGUAGAGGCAGAGAGAGUAAGUAGAGAGAGGCAGAGAGAGUAAGUAGAGAGAGGCAGUGGCAGAGAGUGGUAGUUGAUAGAGGUAGUGGCAGAGAGAGGUAGUGAUGGUGAGAGAGAGAGGUAGUGAUGGUGACAGAGAGAGGUAGUGAUGGUGACAGAGAGAGGUAGUGAUGGUGGCAGAGAGAGGUAGUGUCAGAGAGAGGUAGUGAUAGAGGCAGAGAGAGGCAGUAGAUAGAGGCAGAGGUCCUCUGUAGCUCAAUAGAGCAUGGUGUUUGCAGCGCCAGGAUUUUGGGUUAGGUUCUCGGGAUCACACAAAUGUAAAAAAAGGAUGGCAUAUAUGACUAUUAUAAUUAGCGGUAUUUUAAUAUAUUAUAGGAGAACAGAGAGUGGCAAAGAAACAGAGAGACUUGAAGACGAAGCAGAGAGAGGUAGCUGAUAGAGGUGGACUAUAGGGGAAGACAGAGGAAUGAAAUAGAGCCAUAGAAAGGCCAAUUAAUAAAGGUAGAGACAGAGAGAAUAGAGCAAUAGAAAGGCAAAUGAAUAGAG